AUUGAACGCUAGCGGGAUGUCUUACACAUGCAAGUCGAACGGAGUGGCGAACGGGUGCGUAAUGUAUCGGAACGUGCCCAGUCGCGGUGGCUAACUACGCGAAAGCGUAGCUAAUACCGCAUACUAUUGGAGCGGCCGAUAUCGGAUUCGCUAGUUGGUGGGGUAACGGCUCACCAUGGCGACGAUCCGUAGCUGGUUUGAGAGGACGACCAGCCACACUGGGACUGAGACACGGCCCAGACUCCUACGGGAGGCAGCAGUGGGGAAUUUUGGACAAUGGGGGAAACCCUGAUCCAGCCAUGCCGCGUGUAUGAAGAAGGCCUUCGGGUUGUAAAGUACUUUCAGCGAGGAGGCGUUACUCGCAGAAGAAGCACCGGCUAACUCCGUGCCAGCCGCCGCGGUAAUAC
rnacentral:rRNA from 1 species